rnacentral:rRNA from 1 species
UACAGAGGUCUCAAGCGUUGUUCGGAUUCAUUGGGCGUAAAGGGUGCGUAGGUGGCGCCGUAAGUCGGGUGUGAAAUUUCGGAGCUUAACUCCGAAACUGCAUUCGAUACUGCGGUGCUUGAGGACUGGAGAGGAGACUGGAAUUCAUGGUGUAGCAGUGAAAUGCGUAGAGAUCAUGAGGAAGACCAGUGGCGAAGGCGGAUCUCUGGACAGUUCCUGACACUGAGGCACGAAGGCCAGGGGAGCAAACGGG